UCACAACUACAACCGCGCGUUUUAAGUUUUUAAGUACUCAGGUAAAUUGAGUCACUACAUUACGGCGAGUCUAAGUCAAUUA
rfam:Lactobacillus acidipiscis strain DSM 15353 Scaffold1, whole genome shotgun sequence.